rnacentral:rRNA from 1 species
UACGAAGGGGGCGAGCGUUGUUCGGAAUUACUGGGCGUAAAGGGCGCGCAGGCGGCUCUGAAAGUCAGAUGUGAAAGCCCCGGGCUUAACCUGGGAACUGCAUUUGAUACUCUGGAGCUUGAGUACGGGAGAGGAUAGUGGAAUUCCCAGUGUAGAGGUGAAAUUCGUAGAUAUUGGGGAAGAACACCGGUGGCGAGGCGGCUAUCUGGACCUAACUGACGCUG